ACUCACUUUCUACUCACCCUUGGCCCACUCACAAAUUAUUCCUGACAAUUAUUCCCUAACAACCCAUACUCUCACUAUUCUUCUUUAACAACUCACCCUUCCUCAUCUCUCUCUUAUAUGAAACACACACACUCAUCACGAAAGGUGGGGGAUUAUCUUUGCACAAGAGAGAGGGAACAGAAAGAAAACAACGGGCAGCCUUCUUCCUCAAUUCGAGUUUCCGUCUUUCUAGGAUAAAACAAAAAAACUUUCAGCCAUUCCUUAAAUUCAGCUUCAUCUUCAAUACAUAUCACUACAAAUCCACUUUGAAUCCACCUGAAAUUUCAUAAAAAUCAGUGACAAGGUAGCACAUAUCAGUCCCAAUCUCAAUCAUUAAAAAUAUUCAAGCCUAGUCGAGUAUGUCUGAGGUUCGUCGAACUCCGGCAAGCUACGAAUUCGAGGUUCUAGAGUCACGGUCUUGGUCGUCUUUUAGUUUUGAGCAAACAAAGUCAGAUCCUCCUUGCUAAAAGACUGGAUCUGAACAAUUGUAAGUCACAACUGCUGAUGUAAGUGCUCGUGAAAAAAUUGUAGAGAUGUACAUGACCACACUCAGCCAUCCUUAACAACGACAUUCAAGCAUGAUAUCAAUUUUUUUUUUCUUGGUCUAAGGAUGAUUAUUUAUUGUCUUUGAGAAUUUUGACAAAAGUUGUAGUACUUCUUUUCCACUCUCCUUUUCGUACGUUUUGUAAAAAUUAAUGUACUUGAUUCUAAGAAUGAAGAGGAUGUUAUCUGAAAGGGAAUUAAAAUUUAAUCGA